AGCUUUGCGCAGUGGCAGUAUCGUAGCCAAUGAGGUUUAUCCGAGGCGUGAUUAUUGCUAAUUGAAAAAAAUUAAAAAAAUAAAA
rnacentral:snRNA from 1 species